rnacentral:rRNA from 1 species
AUUGAACGCUGGCGGCAGGCCUAACACAUGCAAGUCGAGCGAGCGGCGGACGGGUGAGUAAUGUAUGGGGACUGCCCGAUAGAGGGGGAUAACUACUGGAAACGGUGGCUAAUACCGCAUACUAGCGGAUAACCCAUAUGGGAUUAGCUAGGAGGGGGGGAAAAGGCUCACCUGGGCGACGAUCUCUAGCUGGUCUGAGAGGAGGAUCAGCAACAAGCGGACGGAGCCAGGGCCCAGACUCCAAGGGAGGCAGCAGUGGGGAAGAUGGCACAAUGGUCGCAAGCCGGAUGCAGCCAUGCCGGGUGUAUGAAGAAGGCCUUAGGGUUGUAAAGUACUUUCAGCGGGGAGGCGUUACCCGCAGAAGAAGCACCGGCUAACUCCGUGCCAGCCGCCGCGGUAAUUC